ensembl:lncRNA
CCGGAAGGGAGUUGGCCAGGGAGGGGAGGCUGGGGUGGCGAAGUUUCUCCUGAAGAGAGUCUGCAGCGGGGAGGGAGGGGCAGGUUCCAGAAAACCCCAGAUGGACCACAGACGAUGGAAUGCGUGAGAUAGUGAGCGAACGCUCCCACAGCGGUUCUUCUCGCCAGGAAUGACGCUCCGGAUAGGGGAGAUGGGAAGGCCAGGCAGGCAGGCUGCGCAGAACUGGGCGAUGGCUGCAGUGGGGACCAUGACAGCUGGGAGGUUCUACAAACCUACAGCAGCGAUGGAGCCAGACCUUAGGACAUGGCGGGGAUCGGUCAGACGGUGAUGAGGAAGACUGGGGAAGGUUACUCCGUCCAUCCCUCCACGCUUGGGAUAUCUUGGGGUGAAGUCAUUUUGGAGGAUGCUGCCAGCUGAGCCCCAAUAUCUGUAGACGACGUAGGACUCCUGAGAAGCAAAUUCUGUCAGUGUUGAGGGGUCUAAAAGAGUGUAUGGUGACUACUGGAUUCCCAGAAUUGCGGACGUCAUUGAAUCUCCGCUUUCUUUUCUUGGGGUGGAUGGUGCGUGCUCGAAAUUGAUCUGGGAGCUUUUGAAUUGAGCUCUAUUCCCAGCCCUUUUAAUUUUUUUAGUUUCGAGACAGAGUUUCACUCAAUUGUUACAUUUCUGGGCUGGGCUUGUAAUUGUAAUCUUCCGCCUCAGCCUGUACCUCCAUAACCACCUGGCUGGCUGGCUUCCCUCUGUUUUCAUCUCCCCUCUCCCCGUAUCACCGCGUACAGGAAAUCCAGAACUCUUGCAUUUGCAUCUCCUUUUCCUACCCGAGUUAGGCCACGGUCUUCUCUCACUUUCAAAACAAAAUUUCCAAUUUCAGUUUGCAAGAACAAAGCUUUCCUAGACCUCAGUUACUCAGACUGCCACGUGCAGUCUGCAGUCUGCAGAGCGAUUUCAGGUUCAGGGCGAGUUGGGGGGGCGGUGCUGGGCUGUGGCCCGGUGGGGAGCGCUUUCCUAGCUGCAUGAGCCCUGAGUUGCAACCCCAGCUGCACACACAGACACACACACACACGUGACAUCCUGGCACAAAUCCUCCAUUGUAGGUCUACAUGGCACCUAUUUCUUGGGGUUAUCAUGACAAAGAAACACAGAAAUGGACUCUCCCUGUCCCAUGAGCUAAAGUCUAAAAUCAAGGUGAAGCCUCCCCGAAAGGAUCUUUUGCCUCUUCCUGUGUCCGGUGGUCACCCCCAGCUCAGUUGCUCUUGUCUGCUUUUGUCUUCAUAUGGCCGUCUUCCCUGUGCGUCUCUGUGUCUCUCCCCACUUCUUACUUUAAAAAUUUUUAUUUUGUCAUGAUUGAAACAGGGCCUUAGCAGCGAGCCUCAUCUCCAGCUGUUUUUAUUUUCUACUUGAGUCAGGGCCUCACUAUAUCUCUUAAGUUGCCCAGGUUGGGCUCAUACUUGUGAUUCCCCUGCCUCAGCCUCCCAGGUGCUCGGACGACAGGCGUGCCUGCACCCAGCUUCCUCCUCUUCCUAUGAGCACUGUCGUUGGAUCUAGAGCUGCCCUGCCCAUCUCGACCUACUACCUCGGCAUGACCUGUGCUCAGCUGAAGUCACGUUCGAGGUUCCAGGGGACUUGCGCUUUGGGAGGACGCUGUUCAGCCCACUAAGCCGUCAGACAGGGGUCUCCAAGGACGAAGGGCCCUGUGGAGAACGGACGCGCGGUGCCAGAUCGCUGUAGGAGCCACCACGCCAGGGCCAUUUGAACUCAGUGCACGUGGCAGGGCUGUCAGCUCAUCCCCCUGACGCAGUCGGCAGGGGACAGGAGCGCACCACCUUUCCGGAGCCCUGCCAGGCGCAGGAUGCUUGCUGUGCUUUCCCACUAGAACCCAGCACAGCGGCUGGUCGUAGAUGCUGAGUCAGGGUUUGGUGAAUGAAUAAACGAGCACCAAGCAGUCUGCUAAGAAGAUGCAAAUAUUCUCUGUCCAAGGGGCGAUCCCCACCCAGCCCACCCACCUCACCCCUGCCGCUCUGCUGAAGAGGGGAUGAGAUAACUCAGAAGGGAGCUUCCCUGCCAGCGAGGAGAUCGAGGUCUUCCCCUGGAAGGGGUCUUCCACAAGGUCAGACCAGGCAGACACCAGGGCUGGGUGAGGUCAGCGGCGGCGUCUCCUCCCCUCCUGCAGCCACUGUUCGAGGAUCGCGGAGCAGCGGGGGCUCCGGAGGCUGCGGAGGAGGACGGCUCGCUGGGCGCGGUUGCCCGCACCUACCGGCAGGUGGCGCAGCGCCCCACGGUCCCCGGCUCCUGCGCACCCGCGCGGUGCAGCUCGGCCCCGGGGCUUAGGGACGGGGUGCAGGGCCCGUGCCGCGGCUGGGGGAGCCCGGCGGGAGAGCUGCGCCGAAGCGCAGCAGGACGAGGAUCUGGGAAGACGAAAUGGGCCCUUGCCUGCAUUAGUUUCCAUGGUAAUUUCGCGUACUGCACAUCUGUACAUGCACCUUUACCCUGAUUGAUGAAUAAUAAAAUUCGGUGGAAGAGACGGGACGGUGACUUUUGCCGAAGGAGCAUUGACCGUCGCAGUUCACACUUUCUCUUUAACGCUGUCUUAAGUGUCACGCAAUGGGCAGGUGCGGACUAGAGACUUACUGCAGGAGUCUCUGGGAUUGGCGCCCAACGGUGGGGGCUUGACCCACAAGCAACCACCUGCUCAGUGAAGCUACUCAGAAUAAAAAAGAAUAAAAGGAAAUCAGCGACCAAGGGGCAAGAGUCAUCAAAGGACGUACACAGGAGCAUAAACUCGAAAAAGAGAAAGAGCUGGAGCCCUAAGAAGUCUUCACGUUCCUCUACUUCCCGCCCGGACCUUUUGGUUUUGCAAAACUUUGCUUAUGUGGGUGCUGCUUGGGAUGUACUUCCUAAUAAAGGAACUGGGCAGUCUGUUCAUCCCCAGUGUAGGUCUGGAUCUUUCUGAUUGCAUCCAUUUGUAGUUGUCUUUCUGUGAUUUCUAGCAGAGGACGCUUGCAGCUAGAAUGAAUACAGCAUCUGUUCUCUUAUACUUCGUGUGUAUCCAGGCACUGAAUAAAUAAGAACUAUGGACUCUUAAGUAGCCUUGUUCGUGGACAUGUUUGUACAGAAAGAAAUGAUAACAUGCAGAAUUUUUUUUGGCAAAUCUUUCAGUUCUCUAUUUGUUGUGUUGGCCAAAAUUAUAAUUUCAUUUUUUACAUCUAUUUCCAACUGCACAUAGUUCAGCUGUCUGUUAUUCAAUUUUUCACAAAGCCUGCAAAGCUUUCUGGAGAAAAAGGAAGUGCUACUCCUUGUCAUGUUUGAUGCUUAGUGUCCACACCCCUGUCAGUUUGUACCUCAUUCAUUUUAAUCUGUCUAAUUCCUCUGCCCCUGCAGUCAGUGGUAAGGGGAAG